CCCACAGACUGUAUAAAACACACCGCGUGCCUUACUAGUAACUUUUCAGUGUCACAGAAUUAACAAAGUAGUAUUUUUUUGUCUAAUUGAGCUGAAGUGAAAUCGUAACGUUACCUGAAAAUCUCCGGCUCUCGCUGCGGUUUACACUGUUUUAGGUCAGUUUAGUCGCUAAAAUCACACAAAUAUUACAUACAAAUGUUCCUGACGUGUUUCUUACUUGUUAUUGACAUGUUUCAAUUAAAUUUAUUUUAUAGAAAUGGUUUAGUGUCUUCGAAAAAGUCCGUUAGCGUCUUAGCAGUUUUCAGGUAGGCUAACUAUAUAGAUUGAGCUCUUGUUGAUGAAACUCUGGGCUUUUAAUCAAAUCUUCGUGUGUGUAUGAUAUAUUUUGAUAGCUCUGUGAAUGUUUUGCUGGUGAUUUGUCAGUAUGUUAUUGGAAAAGGCUGAUUUACUGAAUCGAUGACAUCACUUACAGUGAGAGUGUAAUCGGCUGAAAUCAAGUUCACAUGAGUUUUGAUAUUUCAUGAUAAACAUAUAUUGAUACAAAUUGUUCUGUGAUUUCAGGAGGACAGAAAUAAACUCUACAGAACAGAAGUGAAUCUCCAAGAUUUCAACAUUUCUGAAGGGAGAUUACUGAACGUUACUGACUUAGAAAUACAGGUGACCUGAAGAAGCUCAUGAAAUACAUUAAUAUGCCUUUUUCAGAAUACAUUUCACCAAUUGUAAGAAGUCCCUGAUAUCAAAACCUUGUUAGCUUGUGUCUGUGUCAGCUUGUUUUGUUCCUGGACUCUUCAGUGAUGAUGAGCAGAGUCUGAGUGAACCUGCUGUCAGACAGGUUGGCCUGAUUGACGAUGCCAUCGUCCAUCGCCGAUCACUGAUAGACAUCACGAUGCUGCGCCGGCAAACAGCGUCAUCAGCUCCAGUAUCUCGCCCGUGCAUUUGUUGUCAUGCGACAGUUGUGAACGCGCUGACAGCCGGUUGCCCAGGCUAUGGAUUAAAGGUAAUACUGUUGGCCAGAAGAGAAGGCCCUGCUGCCCCUGUCGGCCCACCGCUGCUGUCAGACAACAUCUCCAAGAUGCUAUAAACUGCAGGACUAAUGUUUCUACUCAUCGAAUUUACAGAAACAAAAACUGUCAACAUUAUAUCCGAGUCGUGGUUUGAGGAUGGUGUCACUUGGUGGCCAAAUUAUAAAAGUGAUGAACGCAUAAAUAGAGCUAUUCAAAAAUGUGAAGAGCCAGGAGAAGACUGGAAAAAGUUUGAUGUCGGAGUCCUCUCAAGAACUGGUGAUUACCUUAAAGAAAGAGACAAACUGAGGGCCUCACUGACCUGUAAUACCUCUGAGUUACAAACAGAUGAUGAGGAAGACGUCAUUAGGAAGAGAAAAAUUAAGCCAAGGCAAAUCUUUGGUGAUACAGAUUCUGACAGUGAGCCAGAGGGUGGUAUAAAGAGGAGAUACCACAAUCUCUCCACUUGUCUACCACCACCUAUUCCUCCACCUACUCCUGACAUACCAUCAACUGAAACCUGCCAGACUUCCAUUAGACCUCUGCCAGAUCUGAGGCAGACUGAAUAUUCUUCUUUCACUGCAGCACCACCUGUCCACUUUAAUGCAGCUGGAAUGCCUUCCAGUCCACUACGCCACUGCUCUGUUGGAUAUGUCCCCAAUCUGAUGCCUCUUGAAGAUGGAUAUUAUACAGUUAAAAUAAUUUAUUUUGCUUAAUCUUUGCUCAUCAAAGUUAUUACAUAUGGGCAAAAACUAUGAGUUCAUCUUUUCUCUCCCUGGUCUCAGUGCCUCCAGUUGCUACACCUACCUCUGACAGGCCAUCAAGCUCUAUGGGCCACAUCUCUGCCAUGCCUCAAAUGUCAAAGGAGCAUUCCUUCAGGCCCACGUUUAGACUGGGGAAGAUGGGCACUGGACCUAUUCCUUGCUCUGCUGCACAGCUGCACAUUCUAACAUUGUUAGAAAAUGUUAAGGAACAGCAAACACAGCUUGCCUUUGCUGUCAGUAAUCUUGCUGCACGACUGGGGACAGAAAAUCCUGUGGCUGAAAUGCCAUGACAUGCCUCACAAUAUCAGUGUUCCACUGUCCACUAUGCCUGAAGUUGAGGAGCUGGAGGAGUGGCUUAAAGAUUCAAGAAACGCACGGGCUAAACAAAACAUAAUAUCUGCUCUGGGUGCUGUUGGAGGACAAAACACCAAAAGAAUCACCUGGAACAUACUUCAUAGGCUUUUCUCAGAUUCAGUAGCUAAAAAAAUUAACUGGAAAGGAGUCAAUGGGAAGAAGUGUUUCAAAGAAAUGCACACAAGAAGUUUGUUGAUCAGAGCUGUAAGGAGUAACCCGUCCUCUACUGGAGCAGCAGAUACUGACAUCGAUUCUUACGCUAUCCGUUGGUUCAAUCUUGCCUCUGACCGUGGCGGCGGCCGGAAAGAACGUGAAAGAGCCAAAGAGGCAUUAACUGAGAUACCUCAUGGGAAUUAAAUCGCACAUGUGAAUGGGUUUGUUGUUCCAUGGCUUUGCUACCCGUUCUGUUUGGUUCAUGAUGGGUCUGCGGUUCAUAAUAUGAACAUUUUUUUGAUGCAGCUUUUUGCUGCCUCUUUUCUACUCAAGAAAGAAGACCAACAUAUCUUUUUGUCACUUGUUUCCCUGACUUCUAUUAUUACCAUUCUGUUUAUUUUUAUAAUUUCUGUCAUCUUUCUAUGUCAUGUUUAUUUGUACUUCAUUAUUAUAAAGCGACCUUGAGUUGUAUGAAAUGUGCUAUAUAAAAUAAACAUAGCAUUAUUAUUAUUAUUAUUUACCACUGUUUUAAUCUUUUGUUUCCAAUUUGUUUUUGUUUUUUUGUUUUUUUGAAUGCAUGAUUAUUGUGAAGUAGUGGCUGUGAUUUAGUGCUAACACUAAUUUAUCAGGUGGUAUUUUAGUGUAAAAAGGUGUUCUAAAUUAAUUGUCUAUCUAAAGUAGUACUUUCAACAUUUAAUUGCCUGAGCAUUUCAUGUUAAAACCUAAAGAAAAAUAUUCAGUGGCAUAAGACCAUAAGAGAUUAGAUAAUAUAUAUGACAAGAUUCUUUUAAUUCUAGAUACUGUAUGUAUACUACUUUAGAGAGAGAGAGAGAGCAUGUGUGUGUGUGGGGGGGGGGGAUGUACAAUCUACAAUAUGAGCUGGCCCUGAUCCGGCAUGAUUCUGGACCAGAUCCAAAACAGAACUGGACCUGAUCUGGCCCGCAUUUGGGCCAAAUUGCCAUAAAGGAAUCCGGGGUUGGCCCAGUUCUGGCCCAUCCUAGAGACACUGCAAAACAUCAAACAAGAGGAACCAGUGACAAUAGGUUUAUUUUGUGGCACAAGUAAACCUACAUCCCUAGCUGAGUACCUUCAAGAAUUCAUCUCUGAAGUAAAUGAAUUAGCUAAAGGAUUUGAAUUCGAUGGAGUGAUGUUCAAUUUAAUACUCUCUUCGAUGGUCUGUGAUGCACC